rnacentral:lncRNA from 1 species
CCGUGGCAUAAGGAGGUUGCCAGGCUAGGGGUCUAAUCGGAGCUACAGUUGCCAGUCUACGUCACAACCACAGCAACAUCAGAUCCAAGGUGCAUCUGCAACCUACACUACAGCUCACGGCAAUGCUGGAUACUUAACCCACUGAACGAGGCCAGGGAUGGAAGCUGCAACCUCAUGGUUCCUAGUUGAAUUCAUUUCCCCUGCGCCAGGAGGGGAACUCCUUACAUUUUUUUUUUCCAAUUACUGAACUUUCAUAGGUUCCAAGAGCCUUUUAGAUCACAUCAGCAUCUGCCCUUUAUCAUCUCCUCCUUCCCAAUUGGCAUUCCCUGUUUCUGUCUUUUGCAUAACUGAAUUGUCCACUGCUUUCACAGCAAUGUUAACUCAUAACACAGGGCACCCACUUUCACAGGAAUUUCUUUAAUGUUCCCAUUGGAAUUCAAGGCGGUGUUUCAUGGCUGAAAAUAGUGACUUUUUUCAUAAUAAAAUGGUCCUCUUUUUUCUAUUUUUUGAAAUAAUGAUUUUUAUUGUUUCCAUUACAGCUGGUUUACAGUGUUCCGUCCAUUUUCUCCUGUACAGCAAGGUGACCCCGGCACACACACGUAUGCAUUUUUUUUCUCCCAUGAUCAUGCUCCAUCAUAAGUGACGAGAUACACUUCCCAGUUGAUACAGUUCCCAGUUGAUACAGUUCCCAGUUGGAUACCGUUGCCAGUAUUGGUUCUUUUUGAUUACUCAUUUGAGCGGGAGGAGACAGUGAAUUUACCAGCUUUGUUUGGGCACGUACCGUUUCCCUCGACUUACGUCCUCUGUGAUUUAUGAUCCUGGUGCCUGGCAUUUAUAGAUAGGGAGUCAUUCUUGAAUUUUAUGGAAGGAACCUGGUUAGAGCUUCAUCAUAACUUUGACAUUCAAUAAUUCUACAGGGCACUUAUGCUGCAGUGUACAGAAUAUGGGCAUCGAUGCUGAUGCAGGUCUGGGGCAUCUGAACAGAAUUGUGGUGUGUGAUCUCCGUGGUGCUGGGUUGGUUGAUUUUUAUCACCCAGACAGGUGUUCACGUGAAUGGUGGGCAGUGGGCACGAGGAAAAGAACUAGACAAGCCCCUGUCUCACCACACAGAACCCAGAGGGGAGUUUCAUCUCCCCUUGCUCAUCAAUAAACUAAUUUGUGCUGGUUCUUGGUCCUCGUCCUCUAAGAUUAUUUUCAUAUUUAUUUAUUUAGGCCAUGUCCAUGGCACGCAGAAAUUCCUGGGCCAGGGAUCAAACCUGUAUCACAGCAAUGACCUGAGCCAAAGCAGUGACAACACUACACCCUUAACCACUGCGCCGCCAGGGAACUCCCUAUUUUAAUUUUAUUGAAAUUAUUUAAAAAAUUUUUCUUUUUACAGCUGCACGUGCAGCACAUGAAAGUUCCCAGGCUAGGGGUUGAAUCAGAGCUGCAGCUACCAGCCUACACCGCAGUCUGAGGCAAUGCCAAAUCCUUAACCCACUUAGUGAGGCCAGGGAUUGAGCCCACAUCCUCCAGACACUAUGUUGGGUUCUUAACCCGCUGAGCCACAAAGAAAACAACUAUUUUUAUUUUUUAUUUUACUGAGGGCUUUUAAACAUAUAAUGUGAUUUUUACAUCAUCUGAAUGAUGUAACCUCUGUAAAUGUUUUGACUAUAUUUAUUUGAACACUUUGGAAAUUUCAUAUGCUUGUCUGAGAACAAAUGCCUAAAUUUUAAUUCAUUGGAACUCAAAAAAAUUGAAUCCCUGGAGUGAUGAGAGUAGGAAUUCUAUUUGCCUAUUCCCACUAUUCCCCGCCCCCAGAUAUUUGAUCAUAUUUCCCUUUAAAUGUUGCAGGGUGAAGCAGACUCUGAAAUGUUAAAUUCAUGCUUCACGCAAUGACCAAGAAUAUGAAUUUAUUCCAAUGAUAACACAUCACAAGACAAAUCUUGGAAAAAUAUUAAGAAUGAGUCAAAGAGUUCCCACAAUGGCUCAGUGGUAAUGAACCUGACUAGUAUGCACAAGUACGUAGGUUUGAUCCCUGGCCUUGCUCAGUGGGUUAAGGAUCCAGCAUUGCCGUGAGCUGUGUGUAGUUCGAAGUUGCAGCUCAGAUAUGGCAUUGCUGUUGCUUUGGAGGUAGGCCUACAGCUCUGAUUUGACCCCUAGAUGGGAACCUCCAUAUGCCACAGGUAUGGCCCUUUAAGGAAAGGGGAGAAAAGAGAAAAAGAAAAGAAAAAGAAAAGAAAUGCAAUAAAGCAGAAGUAUGUCUCUUCCACAAAGCUCUACACUUUCUGAAUCAUACUCGUAGGAAACAUAGAAGGUUUAUUCAUCCUUUUGGUGCAUCUGAUAUGAAAUAAUUUAUCGUGCAAUCUGUUCUCUGCUCACUCCACAGAUAUUUACUGAGAGCAAGGAAUGUUCUCUAAUGCCCAGUGUACAGGCAUGAGACGAGCAUUUUCUGUAUGGGCCUCAUCUGAGAACUGGGGAGGUAAAUUAAAAUAUUCGAGGUAGAUUAAAAUAUUCUCAUUCCAUGCCACCAACGCAGAAGGUGGGUGUGUGAAAAGGCCAUGAGUGCAAGAGGCUCCAUUAAAUUGUGGAGCCAAAGAGUUUGUAUCCUGUGUCACAGGCUCCCCUGCCAUGGCUUUUUUUUCAUGUCAACAUGGCUCUAAGGAGUUAGCACCGGCUUGCAAUCAUGGAAUUGACGUCUGGAGAAUUUGAAGGACUAGAUUCACGACCAGCGAGUGGCCUGUCCUCUCCUGUCAGAGCUGUCUACCCAUCCUUACAUGAUAUCACACCCCAU